CCUCGUCCAAUCAUUUGGUUAUGGAACAUUCUAAAACUUAGACAGGACGAUUGUGAUUGGCUGAAGGGCAUAAGCCCGCCUCCAGGGUGACGUGUCUGCCUAUGGAUAUCAGUUGCCAGAGAAACCUGGCUUUACUAUGGCGGUUGGAGGGACGGCAGUGAUCACACGUCGGCUGCUGGAAAGAACUGGAUUCUUGUUUCAGGCCAUCAUCAGAAAAGCUAAGUUUGCUGUAUAA
rnacentral:lncRNA from 1 species